rnacentral:rRNA from 1 species
UACGUAGGCAGCAAGCGUUGUUCGGAAUUACUGGGCGUAAAGAGUGUGUAGGCGGUGCUCUAAGUUUGGUGUGAAAUCUCCCGGCUCAACUGGGAGGGUGCGCCGAAAACUGGAAUGCUUGAACAUGGGAGAGGAAAGCGGAAUUCCUGGUGUAGCGGUGAAAUGCGUAGAUAUCAGGAGGAACACCUGCGGUGUAGACGGCUUUCUGGACCAUUGUUGACGCUGAGACACGGAAGCGUGGGUAGCAAACAGG